rnacentral:rRNA from 1 species
CAUGCAAGUCGAACGGUAACGCGGGGCAACCUGGCGACGAGUGGCGAACGGGUGAGUAAUGCAUCGGAACGUGCCCAGAAGUGGGGGAUAGCCCGGCGAAAGCCGGAUUAAUACCGCAUGAGACCUGAGGGUGAAAGCGGGGGAUCGCAAGACCUCGCGCUUUUGGAGCGGCCGAUGUCAGAUUAGGUAGUUGGUGGGGUAAAGGCCUACCAAGCCGACGAUCUGUAGCUGGUCUGAGAGGACGACCAGCCACACUGGGACUGAGACACGGCCCAGACUCCUACGGGAGGCAGCAGUGGGGAAUUUUGGACAAUGGGCGCAAGCCUGAUCCAGCCAUGCCGCGUGCGGGAAGAAGGCCUUCGGGUUGUAAAGCACUUUUGUUCGGGAAGAAAUCGUGCGGGCUAAUACCCAGUACGGAUGACGGUACCGAAAGAAUAAGCACCGGCUAACUUCGUGCCAGCAGCCGCGGUAAUACGAAGGGUGCAAGCGUUACUCGGAAUCACUGGGCGUAAAGCGUGCGUAGGCGGUUGGUUAAGUCUGCUGUGAAAGCCCUGGGCUCAACCUGGGAACUGCAGUGGAUACUGGCUAGCUAGAGUGUGAUAGAGGAUGGUGGAAUUCCCGGUGUAGCGGUGAAAUGCGUAGAGAUCGGGAGGAACACCAGUGGCGAAGGCGGCCAUCUGGAUCAACACUGACGCUGAGG